rnacentral:rRNA from 1 species
UGGGGAAUCUUCCGCAAUGGACGAAAGUCUGACGGAGCAACGCCGCGUGAGUGAUGAAGGUCUUCGGAUUGUAAAGCUCUGUUAAUCGGGACGAAAGAGUCCUGUGUGAAUAAUGCAGAAAAGUGACGGUACCGGAAUAGAAAGCCACGGCUAACUACGUGCCAGCAGCCGCGGUAAUACGUAGGUGGCAAGCGUUGUCCGGAAUUAUUGGGCGUAAAGCGCGCGCAGGCGGUCUAUCCAGUCUGUCUUAAAAGUUCGGGGCUCAACCCCGUGAUGGGAUGGAAACUAGUAGGCUAGAGUAUCGGAGAGGAAAGCGGAAUUCCUAGUGCAGCGGUGAAAUGCGUAGAUAUUAGGAAGAACACCAGUGGCGAAGGCGGCUUUCUGGACGAAAACUGACGCUGAGGCGCGAAAGCCAGGGGAGCGAACGGGAUUAGAUACCCCGGUAGUCCUGGCCGUAAACGAUGGGUACUAGGUGUAGGAGGUAUCGACCCCUUCUGUGCCGGAGUUAACGCAAUAAGUACCCCGCCUGGGGAGUACGGUCGCAAGGCUG